rfam:Triticum aestivum genome assembly, contig: Triticum_aestivum_CS42_TGACv1_scaffold_500438_6BL
AUCAUAUUCCCUCCGCCGGAAAUUCUUGUGAGAGAAAUGCAUAAAAAUGGAUGUAUCUAGAACUAAAAUACGUUUAGAUACAUUUAUUCCACCGACAAGUAUUUCCGGACGGAGGGAGUAUUUA